AUGAAUCAAAAUCAAGCUGGUGGGAGCAAACUUGUUCAAGAGUUUGAGGCCUCAAAAGACGUUAUUAAUAUGUUGGAGUUGUAUUUUAACAAAGCUAAAGAAGCUCAAGAGGUUAGGAAUCACAUCUUAGUAUUUGAACCAACUGAUGGAAUAGACUAUAAGAAGAUUCUAAUCAAGAAUUUUAACCUUAAAAAGAUAAAGAAGAUAGAGGAUAUUGUGAAGGACUUGAUCAAUAUGGAUGUAAGUGAUUCUAAAUCAUAUAAAUACCUUGAGAACAACAUGGAUUAA